GAUGAACGCUAGCGGCAGGCUUAACACAUGCAAGUCGAGGGGUAACAGGAUUUAGUUUACUAGAUUGCUGACGACCGGCGCACGGGUGAGUAACGCGUAUACAAUUUGCCUUUUACUGGAGGAUAGCCAAGAGAAAUUUUGAUUAAUACUCCAUAGUAUUAUUUGGUCACCUGGCCGAGUAAUUAAAGUUCCGGCGGUAAAAGAUGAGUAUGCGUCCUAUUAGCUAGAUGGUAAGGUAACGGCUUACCAUGGCGACGAUAGGUAGGGGUCCUGAGAGGGAGAUCCCCCACACUGGUACUGAGACACGGACCAGACUCCUACGGGAGGCAGCAGUGAGGAAUAUUGCACAAUG
rnacentral:rRNA from 1 species